rnacentral:rRNA from 1 species
UACGUAGGGCGCAAGCGUUGUCCGGAAUUAUUGGGCGUAAAGAGCUCGUAGGUGGUUUGUCGCGUUGUUCGUGAAAACUCACAGCUCAACUGUGGGCGUGCGGGCGAUACGGGCAGACUUGAGUACUGCAGGGGAGACUGGAAUUCCUGGUGUAGCGGUGGAAUGCGCAGAUAUCAGGAGGAACACCGAUGGCGAAGGCAAUCCCCUGGGCCUGCACUGACGCUCAUGCACGAAAGCGUGGGGAGCAAACAGG